GAAGCUUUCUUGUACAGUGGUGUGGCAUUCAUAGUGAAAGUAGACCAAGCAGGGAGCUUUGUAGUGACAACCAGUAGAACUUGAGAGACAAGGGGACAGUGGCAGGUAGAAAAAACAACUGGAGAGGUGCAAUUGUCUUAGUGUGAAGAAUUAUCCAGGUGCACAAAGAAGUAGUAGGGAUAUGCCCAUAGGCAGGUGGUCCUAAAGGGUGUGAAUGAGAGAUGCUCAUGCAGUGGGCAGCCCGGAAGGGUGUAGGUGAGGAGAGAUAGAGUUAGAAAAGGUAGAGGGAAGAAGCAGCUGAAGAGGUAGACUCCAGAAUCAAAUCUGGUGGGUGGAGCGACUCCCAGUUUGGGCAGCAGAUGAAUGAAGAAAAAAGAAAUAAAAAAGAAAAGGAAGUGCAUGACUGCUUCUAGGUAUGGUUAAUGAGAAAGUUUAUUGUAGAUAAAAGGGAGAGCAUAGCCAGAGGCAGGGAUAUCUGGGAAUGUUGUGAGUACUCAUGACCCUGAGCCUUUUGAGGGAGAAAGAAGGGAGGAAGAGAGGGAGAGGAACCAAGUAUAGCAGCCAGGAGGACAAAGACACACACACACACACACACACACACACACACACAAAGCCAAUUUUGUAGCCAAAAUAUUUGAAUGUCUGGUGUGUGUGCUUGUAUGUGUGUGUGUGAUGGGGGUGGGAGGGGAGAGAGAGAGAGAGAGAGAGAGAGAGAGAGAGAGAGAGAGAAGGAGGGAGCAAACGCCUGUCAGGGAAGGGCAAGCCAAUCCCCCCAGGCUAAAAAGAGAGGUCAAAAUAAAGGGUGGUGUACAUCAGCCAUACCCUUUAAUGGGUAGGGACUGAGGGAUGCUGGGAGAACCUAGAGACCAGGUCUCCUUUGAUAUGUUAACUAGGCCUCUCAGACUCAUGUCCUGGGAUUGAAAGAGGAUCUGGCUUGUUAUCACCCACUUAUACAUUUUCUGCAUUCAUUCCUUCCAUCCCCUACCAGAUAGGGACAGUAACAAACAGCUCAGGACCCUCAAGAUUAAAUUCUCAGCCCAAAGAUUUAUUUAGCCCAGAGAAACAAAGGGCAGGGGAAAAGAGAAAGGACAGGAGAUAGAGGAGCAGGGAGGAGGAGUAUUUGUCCCAGAAGGGAGCAGGACAAAGGAUUACUUCUGGAUAAAGGAGUCAGACAUGGCUUAGACAAAUGGCAGUUUAUAAGGGUAUAAGGGGAAGCCCCAUGUUUGAAUGAGGUGCUUAAUCUUAACAGGGUAGGUUAAUUAGAUGAGCCAAAGAGACUUUUUAUUGCUGGACUUCAAUACUUUGAUAGUUGGCUCUUGGUAAUCAGCCUUGGAAGGAAGAAGUGACCAAAUAAGGCAAUAGACCUUGGUGGCUUGUUUUAGGAAUAUAAUCUAAUGACUUUUAGCAAGGCAGAGGGAAUGGGGAAGAAGGGCACCGAAUGCCAGAACCAUGCUCACCAAGUUCAAGCUGUAUGGAGUACCAGAGCCAUGCUUGCCAUGUUCAGGCCAGUUAAAGUCCCUUUACUCUAUUGAUUUUUAAACUCAUUUAUUUUUUUAUGUGGAUGGUUCUUUUGCCUGCAUGUACGUCUGUGUAGCAUGUGCAGGAAGAGUACAGAUCCCCAGGACCUGGGUUUACAGGGUGUUGUUUGCUGCUAUAUGUGUCGGGUUCAUAAGAAGACAGAGUGGUUUAGAGAACAGUAUGAGGCACUAUGGGGAAGGGGUGACUAGGUGGGCCCAUGCCCAGGGCCUUUCCCCCUGAGGGACCAAACACACACAGACACUGUAUAGAGUAGAGUUUAUUCAGGGCAGAGGAUGGGAGUUAAGGUAGUGGAGGCAGAGAGAGAGAGAGACAGAGACAGAGAGAGACAGACAGACAGAGACAGAGAGAGACAGAGAGGAGAGUGGGGAGGGGAGGAGAGCCCAAGAGGGGCAGAGAAGUGAGAGUGCCAAGAGGCAAGAGUGAUGAGAGAGAAAGGGGAGAGGCAAGCAGCCCCUUUUAUAGUGGGCCAGGUCUAUGGGGAGGGGCAUACCUGACUGUUGCCAGGUAAUUGUGGGGUGGAGCUUAGACAGAAUACUAACAAUAUGGGUGCUAGGGCUUGAACCAGUGUCCUCUGGAAGAGCUGCCAGAGUUCUUAACCACUGAGCUCCCCAACUAUAUAUGUUUAUGAAUUAGGUGUUUUUACAAUUCUCAUUUCUUGGUAUAUACUUCCAGUGUUAGUAGCUAUAAUCUUUGUAAUCCUCUAUAUCUGGUAUUAUAUUGCCAUAUCAUAAUAACCAGAAUAUCUACCUCUAGUCCUGACCUAUUGCCACAUAUUUUAUUUGUAUACAUGUUACAGUCACUGAAUAUUGACUCCUAUAAUUAACUAGUUUAUUUGCCUCCCCUCCCCCUCUACCUCUCUUCUUCCCUCCCUCCUUCCCUCCCUCCCUCUCUUCUUUCCUGAGUUCAGAAUGUCCAAAUUAUGAAGACAAUGAUUGAAAAUUUAUGUUGUCAUGUGUUUAUAAUUUGGCUUUGACUGUACCAUAUAAACUUGGAUUACCAAGAGAGCACCUGCCCACUUAUAAGUAUCAUGAAGAACAUUAAACAUUUGUGAAAAGUGUUAGCAGGAACAGUUGUGUUAGUACUUGCUAAUUUACUCUGCAGACUCCAUUUUGAAGCAGAAAGUCCAAGCAGCAUGGGAAUGGCUCAUACAAAGGCAUGUAGCUGUAUUGGCCUCAUGGCCAUCUUGUCACGCUGGUAGGAAUUCACACAAGAAGGAUCACAAUAGCUAGAGGAGGACCAGUAAGCAGUCAGUGCUUACUAAGAGAUCUUGCCUCUGAAAUAUCCACUACCACACUGCUAUUAGCAUCUAAAUCUUUGGGAGAACAUUCACCCUAUUAUAUUCAGCUUACCAGUCAGAAGCAUCUUCUUAAUUGCUUUCUGUUUUGUGGGCCAAGUAACCGAAGUAAAAGUCAUUUCAACUUGCUGAAUGCCAACCAGCUUGUGUAUGUAGACACCAAUGAUUGGCCAGAUGGGAAACUGACAGAUGAUUUGGUAUGUUCUUGAGGCAAACUGAGAGAGGCAUGAGGCCAGGCCUUGAACAUGGAUGAAUGGUUGUCCAGGUAACUCCCAGGAGACACUAAUCAGGACUGUGUUUUCCCUGACCCAGGGUUAUGCACCUUCUGCUCCCCACACCAAAACACUCUAUACCUCUAGAGGCCAACUUGGUAGGCCAUCCGCUAUCCAUUGAACUAAGAGAUUCUUUGCCCAAUGGCACUGCACUCUCUGAAGGUGCACUGCCUGUGAUAAAACUGGUUCCUACAUGGCCCCUGAACACACUGCACAUCUUCUGGACAAUGUGGUCAAGUCCGGAUGUGUCAGGAGCUCUGCACACUCUCAUAAGCAAGGCAGCUCAGGCAGGGUCUCAUGUGCUCUCCUUCCAGUCUUCUUCUGUCUGACAAGAAUUACUGCAGGAGAUUGAGCCAGAGGUCUUCUGCAAUGACCUGAAAGGAGGUGAGGCAAGUGUCUCUCUAGCUUCUGGGGUCAGAGUCCCUCGCCAGCCUAAGGGCCUUUAAGGACACAUGACAGUCCUUUUGGGAAUAAGACGACCAGAGCACACCACUUCAGCCAGCCUGUUAUCUCCUAGGAAAUUGUGGGCAAACAACCAGUCCAGGAAAGUUAGCCUCCAGGGUUCCUGCUGGUAAAUGGGAGCAGCAAGGCCAAGGGCUUGUCAGUUGAGAGUUGAGAGUGCUUGGCUGUGCAGAUUCCACAGUGCUUAACUGAAAACAGUCAGAAGUAUCUGACUUUUCUGAAACACUGCAUUAACUUGCCCCCUAGGUCCACUAUGUAGUGGCCAAAGGGCUCCACUGUCCAAAUCACAAGUUGAGAUAGUAUGGCCUCAGUCAGUUAGUUGUUCAGACGUGUUACAGUCUGACAGUGUGGAUUUUCUUACUGAUUUAGACACUGACAGCUCUGGGAAGAAACAUGCUGUGUCCUUUGGACCAUCAGAUGCUGUCAGCCUGGGACAACCAGAAGUAGUGAGAUGCAGGAUGUCAGAGGACCUUCAGACACUUUGUACUCUAGAUAGGGAAACAUGUGCGUUCUGUUGAGUAGAGCUCUGUGGGGUCAGGCUAGUUGAGUGCUGAGGGUCUGGACCCUCACUACAGUUCACUGUAAGUAGACCGAAAGUUUGAAAUUAUGUGCUCUGGACAGCUUAAAGCCAUAGUUUGCGGAGACAGAUACUGAAGGGUAUUGUGACAGGCUUACCCUUCCCCCCCCCCCCCAUUCCCUCCGCUUUGCUAAAACUCAUUAGGUUACCUUUCCUAAAGCAAGUCAACAAGAUCUACUUCCUCAUACGGCCACUUCCUCCUCCUGAGACUGACUAGCAAGGUCCAGAUGUCAACCUACCAAACGAAGUCCAGCAAACAAAAGCCUACUUUGUCUGGCCUAAUUAAUUAAAUUGGGCAUUUGUCAUGCCCAAAUUGGAAUCAAACAUCCUGUAAAAAUGAAAAUUAAUAUAAAUGAAUGCAUUGAAUUAA